AUUGAACGCUGGCGGCAUGCCUUACACAUGCAAGUCGAACGGCAGCGCGGGAGCAAUCCUGGCGGCGAGUGGCGAACGGGUGAGUAAUAUAUCGGAACGUGCCCAGUAGUGGGGGAUAGCCCGGCGAAAGCCGGAUUAAUACCGCAUACGACCUACGAGUGAAAGGGGGGGAUCGCAAGACCUCUCGCUAUUGGAGCGGCCGAUAUCAGAUUAGGUAGUUGGUGGGGUAAAGGCCUACCAAGCCUGCGAUCUGUAGUUGGUCUGAGAGGACGACCAGCCACACUGGGACUGAGACACGGCCCAGACUCCUACGGGAGGCAGCAGUGGGGAAUUUUGGACAAUGGGCGCAAGCCUGAUCCAGCAAUGCCGCGUGCAGGAAGAAGGCCUUCGGGUUGUAAACUGCUUUUGUCAGGGAAGAAAUCCUCUAGGCUAAUACCUUGGGGGGAUGACGGUACCUGAAGAAUAAGCACCGGCUAACUACGUGCCAGCCGCCGCCGUAAUAC
rnacentral:rRNA from 1 species